AAAUGGUUUAACUGAGACUCUAGUGU
rnacentral:piRNA from 1 species